rnacentral:rRNA from 1 species
UACAGAGGUCUCAAGCGUUGUCCGGAUUUAUUGGGCGUAAAGAGCGUGUAGGCGGCCAGGUAGGUCUGCUGUGAAAACUCGAGGCUCAACCUCGAGACGUCGGCGGAAACCAUCUGGCUAGAGUCCGGAAGAGGAGAGUGGAAUUCCUGGUGUAGCGGUGAAACGCGCAGAUAUCAGGAAGAACACCCGUGGCGAAGGCGGCUCUCUGGGACGGUACUGACGCUGAGACGCGAAAGCGUGGGGAGCGAACAGG